GUCACGAAUAAACUCCAUGUGUCUAAUUUAAUGUGAUUCUGAUGGCUUUGACUGUUUAACUUUUCCACUUUGAGAUGCAUAGUUUAUUUAGUUUCAAAAUUUCCUAUCAGAUACCACCUUUGAGGUGCAUGGUUUAUAAACUCUGCCCUUUUUAAUUCAAGUAGACUGUUAAGCUGACUGGUAGUUCUUUCUAUAUCCUUAAACUUUGCAUGAAGUUACAAGAUGAAUUCUGACAAAAACGUUAGUUCAUUAUAACUAGAUGUCCUCUCGCCAUUCAAAAAUUAUUACAUGGUGGACUAAUCCUUUAGAAGUUAUAUGCUCAAUUAAUAUAGAUUUAGUUAAUAUUUCUCUGUUGUAUUACAAGUGCUACACUAAACAAGUCAGGAGUCCUUGUUCCCGGUACAGGAAUGUACUUGCAGAGUGAAAUUAUGCUUUGAUUGUUUAAUCAUCACUUUUGGUAAACCUAGUUUGCCAUGACCUUGAAUGUAUCUCAUCUUGAAAUUGAUCUUUCAACUUAUUCAAUAUCCAUUCAUUGCUCAUAAUAGCUUGAGCUUCUAUUUAUCUGUUGUAUGUUAUGAAAUACUCUCACUAGCAUUUAAGUCUCUGAUAAAAAAUCUCUGCCUAUGUGGAUUUUCUGAAAAAUACACUUGAUUAGUAUUUGUGUCUUUUUGGCCAAACAGAUUACUUUGUUCCUCCUCAUAUUAGAACUGAUAGACUUGUGCAUAGAAGCUUCUCUCUACUGGAGAGGUGCAGCUGCUACUUAGGCUGUGCUGUGACCUUAUGUUGAACUUGAACUAGAAGUUUUCCAAACCUCUAUUGUGAUCAGUAACUUUAUGUGUUUUGCUGCUGGAUUUCCUUAUUUGACUAUCAGUUCUUCAUGCUGGUGGGUGUGCACUAAAUGUUACCCUUAUCUACCUACCUGACUUCUUCUCCAAAUUAUAUAUCCAAGAUUAAUGUCAAUUCCUUUCUUUCUUUCUGGAUUAGGCAUCUCUAAUUUUCUUUUAAAA
rnacentral:misc_RNA from 1 species